GGGUGUGUAGCUCAGUGGUAGAGCGGCUGACUACAUAUCAGCAGGUCCUUAGUUCAAAUCCGGGCGCGUCCU
rnacentral:tRNA from 1 species